UAAAUUUUCAGGCGUUUCUAUGGCGAUUAUGAAAUAAAAUAAAAAAAACGACAAAAAUUCAUCUGUACGCACAGGCGACCUCUCCGAUGGCGUCGUCAAUUCUGCAAACUCGUCCAUUCACUGCUUUUGUAAAUCGUUUUUGAAUAAUAUUUUUUUUUUUUUUUUUUUUUUUUUUGAAUGAUGGUGGCUGGUGGUUGUCUGGUGGCUAGUGGGGUAAAAAUAAAAUAGGGUGAAUUUAUAAGGGGUAAAAGUAAAUUAGGGUUAGAGUAAAAGGGGCAUGUUUGUAAUGUCGUGUUAAAAUACGGACAUUACCCGAUAAAUACCGAACGCGAUUUAGCCAUUCAGAAGGGGAAUAAGUAAAUAACUUCCCAUGUUUUAUGAUUUUGGGAAUUUAUUUCACCAAACAAGCACUUAGUACUCGCUGCAUUGUUCAGUCGCCCCUCUAGUUUCGUUUCCAAGGUUUUCAGCAAUGAAACGCCACUCGUUUCGCAGUCGACUACUCUCACCACCAGAAGAGGCGCUUGAAAUGGGGCAAAAUAUUUGAUUGCACAAAACCCGUUGUCUUUUGUAAAUAUUACCUUCUUGUUGGAGUUCAUCACACUAAAGGAUACAUUGAAGAUAUUCCUGGAGUUGGCCAUCUCUAAUAUGCUGAAGUUUCGUAUAGGUGAGUAUGAAGAUCAAGACUGUUAUUGGUUCACGCAUAUAUAUCAAAAGAACAAGAUUAAUCAGUUGGCUACUAGGCAACCACCAAACUAUUUGCCUUGGCGGAUAAAUAUGCUAGAAGUAGAUGGACAGAUAUCCAUGAGAGACAGGGUUGCCUCUUGUUGGAAUGGCCUUGCUCAACUAAAGAAAGUGAAGCUUUGACAUGCUCCUUAACUCCUUGCAAAUUAUUACUACCAGACUAAUGUUCUAAAGUGUCUGCAGUUAAGCUAUUUUUGAAAUGAAGCAAGGCCUUGAACCAUUUUCUCUCAUCGCGUAUGUUUUAGAGUAAAUCAGGAUUUGGUAAUGUACUAAAAUCAAUUGUGGUUCCUAUGAGGUUCUGGGAGGCAAGUCUCACAAGUCACUAGUGAACACACACAGAUUGGCAGUAGAUGAUGUUCUAUAAGAGUAUACACUGAUUUUGAUGUGCCGAUAUCAUCAGAUCUCUCACCGUGCUGCAGAUCAGCAGACAGGUCUAUUGCAAACUCAACCUCAUAACUUGAAGCGUCUGAACUAUUGCACCAUCACUGCAUGAUUGCUGGACUGUUCCGUGCUUCGCCAUUAUUAUUCCAGUUAUUAAUUAAUGUUUAUAAUUAUUGGUCUUACAUUAGCAAGAUUGAUCAAACUCCUAUAAUGUAUGUUUGGUUCAUGCAUAGUAUCUGACAUCAGUCGUAAAGAUAGAAGAUUAGACCAACUUCAGAAUAACUUACAAAGAACUACUAGUAUAUCUUUCAUCAGGUCUUUAUUUUUUA